rfam:Pseudomonas sp. TW4, complete genome.
AAUUAUGGCGGCUGUGUGUGGGAGACCUUAGGGUCUGCCGGUAUUCGCUUGGCCGGUUCGCCAACCCGCAUGCAGCUGCCACCCUU